rnacentral:misc_RNA from 1 species
GGAAGUAAAAGUCGCAACAAGGUCUCCGUAGGUGAACCUGCGGAGGGAUCAUUACAGAGUUCAUGCCCUACCGGGUAGAUCUCCCACCCUAUGUUAUUAUUACUUUGUUGCUUUGGCGGGCCGUUAGGCUCCGGCCCGACUACCGGCCCCGGCUGGUAAGCGCCCGCCAGAGGACCCAAAACCCUGAAUAUUAGUGUCGUCUGAGUACUAUAUAAUAGUAAAAACUUUCAACAACGGAUCUCUUGGUUCUG